rfam:Erysipelotrichaceae bacterium 3_1_53 genomic scaffold supercont1.2, whole genome shotgun sequence.
ACAUGUAUUGACAUACAUGCUUGUAUAUACCCUGUAAUAAGGUCAGGGAGUUUCUAGCCGUUCACCGUAAAAGAGCGGGCUACAAGCAAACAAUUACUCUUU